rnacentral:rRNA from 1 species
UUUAUCUUAGUGGCGGACGGGUGAGUAACGCGUGAGCAACCUGCCUUUCAGAGGGGGAUAACGUCUUGAAAAGGACGCUAAUACCGCAUGAGAUCGUAGUCCCACAUGGGACAGCGACCAAAGGAGCAAUCCGCUGAAAGAUGGGCUCGCGUCCGAUUAGAUAGUUGGCGGGGUAACGGCCCACCAAGUCGACGAUCGGUAGCCGGACUGAGAGGUUGAACGGCCACAUUGGGACUGAGACACGGCCCAGACUCCUACGGGAGGCAGCAGUGAGGGAUAUUGGUCAAUGGGGGAAACCCUGAACCAGCAACGCCGCGUGAGGGAUGACGGCCUUCGGGUUGUAAACCUCUGUCCUCUGUGAAGAUAAUGACGGUAGCAGAGGAGGAAGCUCCGGCUAACUACGUGCCAGCAGCCGCGGUAAUACGUAGGGAGCAAGCGUUGUCCGGAUUUACUGGGUGUAAAGGGUGCGUAGGCGGUUCGGCAAGUCAGAAGUGAAAUCCAUGGGCUUAACCCAUGAACUGCUUUUGAAACUGUCGAACUUGAGUGAAGUAGAGGUAGGCGGAAUUCCCGGUGUAGCGGUGAAAUGCUUAGAGAUCAUACAGAACACCGAUUGCGAAGGCAGCUUACCAAACUAUAUCUG